AGUGAACGCUGGCGGUAGGCCUAACACAUGCAAGUCGAACGGCAGCACAGGAGAGCUUGCUCUCUGGGUGGCGAGUGGCGGACGGGUGAGGAAUACAUCGGAAUCUACUCUGUCGUGGGGAUAACGUAGGGAAACUUACGCUAAUACCGCAUACGACCUACGGGUGAAAGCAGGGGAUCUUCGGACCUUGCGCGAUUGAAUGAGCCGAUGUCGGAUUAGCUAGUUGGCGGGGGAAAGGCCCACCAAGGCGACGAUCCGUAGCUGGUCUGAGAGGAUGAGCAGCCAAACUGGAACGGAGACACGGUCCAGACUCCUACGGGAGGCAGCAGUGGGGAAUAUUGGACAAUGGGCGCAAGCCUGAUCCAGCCAUACCGCGUGGGUGAAGAAGGCCUUCGGGUUGUAAAGCCCUUUUGUUGGGAAAGAAAUCCAGCUGGCUAAUACCCGGUUGGGAUGACGGUACCCAAAGAAUAAGCACCGGCUAACUUCGUGCCAGCCGCCGCAGUAA
rnacentral:rRNA from 1 species